AGCAGCCGCGGUAAUUCCAGCUCCAAUAGCGUAUAUUAAAGUUGUUGCAGUUAAAAAGCUCGUAGUUGAAUUUCGGGGUCAGUAGGUUGGUCGUGCCACUGGUAUGCACUGGCCUUACUGAUUCCUCCCUCUUGUAGAACCGUAAUGCCAUUAAUUUGGUGUUGCGGGGAAACAGGACUGUUACUUUGAAAAAAUUAGAGUGUUUAAAGCAGGCUAACGCUUGAAUACAUUAGCAUGGAAUAAUGAAAUAGGACGUUCGAUCCUAUUUUGUUGGUUUCUAGGAUUGACGUAAUGAUUAAUAGGGACAGUUGGGGGCAUUAGUAUUCAAUUGUCAGAGGUGAAAUUCUUGGAUUUAUUGAAGACUAACUACUGCGAAAGCAUUUGCCAAGGAUGUUUUCAUUAAUCAAGAACGAAAGUUAGGGGAUCGAAGACGAUCAGAUACCGUCGUAG
rnacentral:rRNA from 1 species